rnacentral:rRNA from 1 species
CGCGUAGGCGGUUUGUUAAGUCAGCUGUGAAAGCCCCGGGCUCAACCUGGGAACUGCAGUUGAUACUGUCCGACUAGAGUACGAGAGAGGGAGGUAGAAUUCCAUGUGUAGCGGUGAAAUGCGUAGAUAUAUGGAGGAAUACCAGUGGCGAAGGCGGCCUCCUGGCUCGAUACUGACGCUGAGGUAGCGAAAGCGUGGGAUCAAACAG